ensembl:ncRNA F52F12.13 ncRNA
GCCUACCACGUGGGCCAUGUGGGCCUACUGGACAAUUGAUUGCUGGUCCCGUAUCACAAUCACAUGGGUCUUUAUUUGAAUCCGGAGUUGGAGAAGCUUCACGAGGAAGGCGAGUUGCUGGGAGCAUAUCUUCCCAUGCACCGUUUGCAUACAACUGAAAAUAAUAGUAAGGCCUCUGCCUCUGGAGUCACUGAGCAAAGUUGAGGUCUCGACACGAUG